UUGGAGGGCAAGUCUGGUGCCAGCAGCCGCGGUAAUUCCAGCUCCAAUAGCGUAUAUUAAAGUUGUUGCAGUUAAAAAGCCCGUAGUUGAAUUUCGGGAUCAAUAUUUCGGUCAUGCCGUUGGUAUGCACUGUUAUCAUUGAUUUCUCACCUUCUAAAGAACCGUGAUGCCAUUAAUUUGGUGUUACGGGGAAUUAGGACUGUUACCUUGAAAAAAUUAGAGUGUUUAAAGCAGGCUCACGCUUGAAUACAUUAGCAUGGAAUAAUGAAAUAGGACAUCCGAUUCUAUUUUGUUGGCUUCUAGGAUCGAUGUAAUGAUUAAUAGGGAUAGUUGGGGGCAUUAGUAUUCAAUUGUCAGAGGUGAAAUUCUUGGAUUUAUUGAAGACUAACUACUGCGAAAGCAUUUGCCAAGGAUGUUUUCAUUAAUCAAGAACGAAAGUUAGGGGAUCGAAGACGAUCAGAUACCGUCGUAGUCUUAACCAUAAACUAUGCCGACUAGGGAUCGGAUGAUGUUAAUUUUUUAAUGACUCAUUCGGCGCCUUACGGGAAAC
rnacentral:rRNA from 1 species